GGCUCCAGCAAGGCUUUCAGAGCCUGGCGGAUUCUUAGGAAGGGUAAUAUUUAAAGAUCCCCCAAUUCACCAGAAGACAUCUGACCUCAAGUAAUGUGUGGUCUCCCGCUGCUUCAACUCCAUAAGUGCUACUUCUUGGUUUAUGUCUAUGGUCUUUUAUUUCCUUCCCACACAGAAAAGAAAAAAAAAGGCUCCUUAAUUUUCCGAGGUCUUUCCUCCUAUACACUGAAUAUAAUACCAUUUCAUGAAUCUUUAUUUCACUGUGUCCAACCUAUACUUCAGAAGGCUGAAAACAGAUGUACUCGCAUGUGGUUUUCAUGUUAUUUCAUGCUGCUCCAUUUCUAAACAGUUCUUACAGAUUAAGAUGACAACUACUUCACUGACUAGCACUAGAUGCAUUCCUCAAAAACACCUGGAAGGACUACUAUUAAAAAAUGGCUGCUCAUUAAUUCAAAAACAUCAAACCAUGUGACUCUUGCAGAAUAAGGAAACACUGGUGGCAAGAAAGACAAGUGAUCUUUGCCUGGAUCUAUUUUUAGGAAUGGCUUAUCUACACCCCUAGUGUUAACACUGGAAAAUAAACAAAUGGAUGAAAAGCAUCAUAAAAGAGUCACUCUGAGAUCAACAGUUCCAUAGUAUUUGAAAAUAAAAGGGGAUGAA